CACUCCUGCGGGAGGCAGCAGUGGGGAAUAUUGGACAAUGGGCGCAAGCCUGAUCCAGCCAUGCCGCGUGAGUGAUGAAGGCCCUAGGGUUGUAAAGCUCUUUCACCGGUGAAGAUAAUGACGGUAACCGGAGAAGAAGCCCCGGCUAACUUCGUGCCAGCAGCCGCGGUAAUACGAAGGGGGCUAGCGUUGUUCGGAUUUACUGGGCGUAAAGCGCACGUAGGCGGACUAUUAAGUCAGGGGUGAAAUCCCGGGGCUCAACCCCGGAACUGCCUUGGAUACUGGUAGUCUUGAGUUCAAGAGAGGUGAGUGGAAUUCCGAGUGUAGAGAUGAAAUUCGUAGAUAUUCGGAGGAACACCAGUGGCGAAGGCGGCUCACUGGCUCGAUACUGACGCUGAGGUGCGAAAGCGUGGGGAGCAAACAGGAUUAGAUACCCCAGUAGUCCCAUGAU
rnacentral:rRNA from 1 species